GACGAACGCUGGCGGCGUGCCUAAUACAUGCAAGUUGAGCGCUUAAGUUUUUUACUUUUACCAACUUGCUUUGCAGCUAACGUGUGUGUAACUCGUGUGUAAUCUUCCUUUUUUCGGUGUUCAACAUUUUGAAACGAUUUCUAAUACCGCCUAAUCACUUUAUACACAAGUUUUAUGUUUGAAAUAUGCAUUUUCAUCACUCAAAUAUUAUCCCUCGUUGUAUUAUCUAGUUGGUGAGGUAAAGGCUCACCAAGGCGAUGAUACAUAGGCGACCUGAGAGGGUGAUAGGCCAAAAUGGGAAGGAGACAAGGAACAAAAUGAUACGGGAGGCAGCAGUAGGGAAACUUCGGAAAUGGACGAAAGUCUGACCGAGCAACGAGGCGUGAGUGAAGAAGGGAUUAGGAUCGUAAAACUCUGUUGGUAGAGAAGAAAGAUGGUGAGAGUGGAAAGCACAUCAAGUGACGGUAACUAAAAAGAAAGGGACGGCUAACUACGUG
rnacentral:rRNA from 1 species